GCCACUGUAGCUCAGUGGUAGAGCUCCUAUGUAGGAGUGGUGAGAAAGUGCUAACGACUACUACAAGCACUUUUUACGAUGAGGUCGCAGGUUCAAAUUGUGCCCGGUGGCU